AAAUGACAUUACGAUUUGAAUUUGAAUUGUACUUACAUACAUACAUAUGUGCAUAUGUAAUUAUGUAUGCGCUGAUAUGUAGAUGCGUAUGAAAAUUAAAUGACAUAUUAUUGUAAUAUGUAUAUUAAGUUUUUAUGAUUAUGAUAGUAUCUCAUAUACAUACAUAUUCAUACAUAUGUAUAUUAUAUUUACAAACAUAUUCAUAUACAUAUGAAAUUAUAAUAUAUUCUCAAACAUAAGAAAUAUUUUAAUAAAUAACUCUUUAUUGCACAUUAACUACAAAUAUUGUUUUGAAAAUAGCAUAAUUUAAUUAGAAUGAUAUAAAUUAUGCAUAUAUUCAUAGAAAUAUGCAAAAUGGUAAUCACAUCAAUUAACAUGAUGGCAUAUGAGCAUAUAAAAAUAUAAGCAAAAGGCCAACAUACGUCUGUAAUAGCAAUGCAUGUUUCUGAGCAUAAUUUUCAUUAAAUGCUCAGCUCUAGAACUUAAAAGUAUAGAGAAGGUGCAAAUCGAAAUCUGUAUGACGGUUCGAUUGCGCGGCUAACAGAGCUGAUAGAAUCAGAUGAAGGAAUUCGCCGAGCUCUGGCUAUUUAGCAGAAUUGAGCACUUUCAGUGGCAGAAAUAUAUGUAAAAUGACUGAGAAUAAAUAAAGAGAAUUGCUUUGUAGAAAAAUAUACAAAAUAUAUAAAGACACACAGAUAAUGUAAAAAAGCCACUCUCUGAGUGACAUAUGUAUGCAUGCUUAUAUUGAAUUAUAUGAGCCAUUGUCACAUAUGCGUGAUUACUUUGGUAAAAAUGGUAAAAAUUUUAUGUGAUAAAAUUAAAUAAAAAAUAAUUUUAAAUAAAUUAUUAUUUAAAAAAUUA